rnacentral:sRNA from 1 species
UCCUCUGUCAAGGGUAUACGAGUAGCUGCGCUCCUCUGCUAGAACCUCCAAACAAGCUCUCAAGGUCCAUUUUUUGUAAUUUGUAUUAAAAC